AUUGAACGCUGGCGGCAGGCCUAACACAUGCAAGUCGAACGAGUGGCGGACGGGUGAGUAAUGUCUGGGAAACUGCCCGAUGGAGGGGGAUAACUACUGGAAACGGUAGCUAAUACCGCAUACCAUCGGAUGUGCCCAGAUGGGAUUGGCUUGUAGGUGGGGUAACGGCUCACCUAGGCGACGAUCCCUAGCUGGUCUGUGAGGAUGACCGGCCAAACUGGAACGGAGACAGGGUCCAGACUCCUAAUGGUGGCAGCAGGGGGUAAUAUUGCACAAUGGGCGCAAGCCUGAUGCAGCCAUGCCGCGUGUAUGAAGAAGGCCUUCGGGUUGUAAAGUACUUUCAGCGAGGAGGCGUUAAUCGCAGAAGAAGCACCUGCUAACUCCGUGCCAGCAGCCGCGGUAAUUC
rnacentral:rRNA from 1 species